rnacentral:lncRNA from 1 species
CCCAUCUGGGCUACUAUAACCACAUGGACCAUCCCUUGCUUCAAUCAUAGAAUUCUUUCUUCAGAUCAAAGUAUAUUCAGACACUCGAUACAGUAACAAAAGCAAGCUAUCCUGGAAGGAAGAAGGAAUCAGGAGGCAGAGCACAUGGUUAAAGCAUGAGAUGUGAAACCAGGAAGAACCAGGUCUGAACCUUAGCUCCACCAGUGGUAGCUUCAAACCUUGGUCCUUUCUGAGCCUGCUUCUUCAACCGUAAGAUAAGCGACCAGAAAACAGUCCUCUCUGAAUCAGACAAACUUCAAGAGCUACAAGGGUUAUUAACACAUGAAGUAAAGAGUCAAACAGUAAUCUGCAGCUCAUCCCCUAUUCUCUUCUUGCAAUCGGGAUGCUGCCUGACUACCAACACACCUGCACAAAGCCCUCUGCAGCACCUGCCACUGGCCCAUGCUUUUGUCAUUGCCACCUCCAGCUCAGCCUCAUUCCCCUCCAGGCUCUGCUCCAACGCACAGGACCACAGGAACUCGGAAACGGGACCCAGAAAGUUGUUUUCUCAAGUGGAUGGAACAACACAAGCAAUCAGUAUCCUGAAACAGGCCCUGUUCCAACAAACUGACCCAGAAAGGUCUGGUUAGGAGGACAGGACCCUCACUAUACACUAUCACAUUUAAACUAAAAGGAUAUUAUGAAUUAUGUACACAUAUCAAGCUGAGAGGAAAGGAAAUCCUAUCAUCUUGCAGGCUUCCUAAUGAUCUUACUUAAAACUGAGUUACU